rnacentral:rRNA from 1 species
GACGAACCGUGCGAACGUUGUUCGGAAUCACUGGGCUUAAAGGGCGCGUAGGCGGGCUGUCAAGUCUGGGGUGAAAUGCCGCGGCUCAACCGUGGAACUGCCUCAGAUACUGUCGGCCUCGAGGAAGGUAGGGGCAUGCGGAACUGUAGGUGGAGCGGUGAAAUGCGUUGAUAUCUACAGGAACGCCGGUGGCGAAAGCGGCGUGCUGGACCUUUUCUGACGCUGAGGCGCGAAAGCUAGGGGAGCAAACGGG